rnacentral:rRNA from 1 species
CCUACGGGGGGCUGCAGUGAGGAAUAUUGGUCAAUGGACGAGAGUCUGAACCAGCCAAGUAGCGUGAAGGAUGACUGCCCUAUGGGUUGUAAACUUCUUUUAUAAAGGAAUAAAACGAGGCACGUGUGCCUUUUUGCAUGUACUUUAUGAAUAAGGAUCGGCUAACUCCGUGCCAGCAGCCGCGGUAAUACGGAGGAUCCGAGCGUUAUCCGGAUUUAUUGGGUUUAAAGGGAGCGUAGAUGGGUUGUUAAGUCAGUUGUGAAAGGUUGCGGCUCAAACGUAAAAUUGCAAUUGAUACUGGCAGUCUUGAGUACAGUUGAGGUAAGCGGAAUUCGUGGUGUAGCGGUGAAAUGCUUAGAUAUCACGAAGAACCCCGAUUGCGAAGGCAGCUUACUAAACUGUGACUGACAUUGAUGCUCGAAAGUGUGGGUAUCAAACAGGAUUAGAUACCCUUGUAGUC